rnacentral:rRNA from 1 species
GAACUGAAGAGUUUGAUCCUGGCUCAGAUUGAACGCUGGCGGCAUGCUUUACACAUGCAAGUCGAACGGCAGCACGGGAGCUUGCUCCUGGUGGCGAGUGG